rnacentral:rRNA from 1 species
UGAAUACGAGAUGCUACGGCGUCGAAUCAGUCUAUGUCAUACUUCCAAGAAAAGCUCGCACUGUCAUAAACAAAUAAUGCCUGUACCAUAACCGACACAGGUGGGUAGGUAGAGUAUACUAAGGGGCGCGAGAUAACUCUCUCUAAGGAACUCGGCAAAAUGACUCCGUAACUUCGGGAGAAGGAGUGCCUUAUUUAUAAGGUUGCAAUAACAAGAUCCAAGCAACUGUUUAUCAAAAACACAGGUCUCCGCUAAGUCGUAAGACGAUGUAUGGGGGCUGACGCCUGCCCAGUGCCAGAAGGUUAAAGAAGUUGGUUAGCAUUCGCGAAGCUGAUAACUGAAGCCCUGGUGAACGGCGGCCGUAACCAUAACGGUCCUAAGGUAGCGAAAUUCCUUGUCGGGUAAGUUCCGACCCGCACGAAAGGCGUAAUGAUUUGGAUACUGUCUCGGAGAGGGGCUCGGUGAAAUAGACUUGUCUGUGAAGAUGCGGACUACCUGCACCAGGACAGAAAGACCCUAUGAAGCUUUACUGUAACUUGAGAUUGAAAUUGGACUUUACUUGCGCAGUAUAGGUGGGAGGCGUUGAUAAUAUUCUUGCGGGAUUAUUUGAGCCAUCAGUGAGAUACCACUCUUGUAAUGUUAGAUUUCUAACUUUGUAUCAUUAUCUGGUCAAAGGACAGUUUCAGGCGGGCAGUUUGACUGGGGCGGUCGCCUCCUAAACGGUAACGGAGGCGCACAAAGGUUUCCUCUGAACGGGUAGAAAUCGUAUCUAGAGUGUAAAGGCAUAAGGAAGCUUGACUGUGAGACCUACAAGUCGAGCAGGGACGAAAGUCGGCCUUAGUGAUCUGACGGUGCCGAGUGGAAAGGCCGUCACUCAACGGAUAAAAGUUACUCUAAGGAUAACAGGCUGAUCUCCCCCAAGAGUUCACAUCGACGGGGAGGUUUGGCACCUCGAUGUCGGCUCAUCGCAUCCUGGGGCGGUAGUACGUCCCAAGGGUUGGGCUGUUCGCCCAUGAAAGCGGUACGCGAGCUGGGUUCAGAACGUCGUGAGACAGUUCGGUCCAUAUCCGGUGUAGGCGUUAGAAUAUUGAGAGGAGCCUUCUUUAGUACGAGAGGACCGAGAAGGACAUACCUCUGGUGUACCAGUUAUCGUGCCAACGGUAAACGCUGGGUAGCUAUGUAUGGAGUGGAUAACCGCUGAAAGCAUCUAAGUGGGAAGCCCACCUCAAGAUAAGUAUUCUCACCAUAUUGGUUAAGGUCACGGGAAGAACACCCGUUGAUAGGCAUCAGGUGGAAGUGCAGUAAUGUAUGAAGCCGAAGUGUACUAACAGACCGAGGGCUUG